AAUAUUGUACCUUCAGGGAUCAAGUCUACAGUUUGUUACUAAGGAAGUUUCUCUGAACAUGUACAGAGCUGCAGAAGAGCACCAGAACCCACGAGGAGAAGGUGCAGCAUGAUGCUGAGCGUGAAGCUGGCUCAUGGAGUUGCUCUGCUGCUACUGCUACUUGCUGCUGCUGAUCGUUCUCCUCUUCCUUGGGGAGUGGAAGAUGGGGAGAAUGCAGUUGGAGUGGU
ensembl:snoRNA U3 Small nucleolar RNA U3